rnacentral:pre_miRNA from 1 species
UUUCUACUCCCUCCGUUCGAAAAUACUUGUCAUCAAAAUGGAUAAAAAGAGAUGUAUCUAAAACUAAAAUACGUCUAGAUACAUUUCCUUUUAUCCAUUUUGAUGACAAGUAUUUCCGGAGGGAGGGAGUAUUUG